ACAUGCAGUCGAGGGGUAUAAGAGAGCUUGCUUUCUUAGAGACCGGCGCACGGGUGCGUCACUCGUAUGCAAUCUACCUUACUCAGGGGGAUAGCCCGAAGAAACUCGGAUUAACACCGCAUAACAUAUAGUUUCGGCAUCGGAGUUAUAUCAAAUAUUUAUAGGAGUAAGAUGAGCAUGCGUGACAUUAGCUAGUUGGUAAGGUAACGGCUUACCAAGGCGACGAUGUCUAGGGGAUCUGAGAGGAUGACCCCCCGCACUGGUACUGAGACACGGACCAGACUCCUACGGGAGGCAGCAGUAAGGAAUAUUGGUCAAUGGGCGAAAGCCUGAACCAGCCAUGCCGCGUGCAGGAGGACGGCCCUAUGGGUUGUAAACUGCUUUUGUACCGGAAUAAACCUGAUUAUGUAUAGUCAGCUGAAUGUACGGUAAGAAUAAGGAUCGGCUAACUCCGUGCCAGCAGCCGCGGUAAUACGGAGGAUCCAAGCGUUAUCCGGAUUUAUUGGGUUUAAAGGGUGCGUAGGCGGCUUGUUAAGUCAGAGGUGAAAGACGGUAGCUCAACUAUCGCAGUGCCUUUGAUACUGAUGAGCUUGAAUGAAGUU
rnacentral:rRNA from 1 species